rnacentral:rRNA from 1 species
AUUUACUGGGCGGUAAAGCCGCGUGUAGGCGUGUUCCAAGUCGGGUGUGAAGCUUGAGCUCACUCAAGAAAUGCACUCGUACUUGAUGACUAGAGACCGAGAGAUAGUGGAAUUCCCAGUGUAGUGGUGAAAUACGUAGAGAUUGGGAAGACACCAGUGGCGAAGGCGGCUAUCUGGACGGUUUCUGACGCUAAGACGCGAAAGCGUGGGGGAGCAAACAGGAUUAGAUACCCUGGUAGUCACGCCGUAAACGAUGGGUGCUAGACGUUGGCGAGCUUGCUCGUCAGUGUCGCAGCUAACGCGUUAAGCACCCCGCCUGGGGAGUACGGUCGCAAGAUUGAAACUCAAAGGAAUUGACGGGGGCCCGCACAAGCGGUGGAGCAUGUGGUUCAAUUCGACGCAACGCGCAGAACCUUACCAGCCCUUGACAUGGGACUCGCCGGGAGCAGAGACGCUCCCUUCGGUUCGGCCGGAGUCCGCACAGGUGCUGCAUGGCUGUCGUCAGCUCGUGUCGUGAGAUGUUGGGUUAAGUCCCGCAACGAGCGCAACCCUCGUCUCCAGUUGCCAUCAGGUUAUGCUGGGCACUUUGGAGAAACUGCCGGUGACAAGCCGGAGGAAGGUGGGGAUGACGUCAAGUCCUCAUGGCCCUUACGGGCUGGGCUACACACGUGCUACAAUGGCGGUGACAAUGGGAUGCGAAGGGGCGACCCGGAGCCGAUCCUGAAAAACCGUCUCAGUUCGGAUUGCACUCUGCAACUCGAGUGCAUGAAGUUGGAAUCGCUAGUAAUCGAGGAUCAGCAUGCCUCGGUGAAUACGUUCCCGGGCCUUGCACUCACCGCCCGUC